GUGGGGAAUUUUGGACAAUGGGCGAAAGCCUGAUCCAGCCAUGCCGCGUGCAGGAUGAAGGCCUUCGGGUUGUAAACUGCUUUUGUACGGAACGAAAAGACUUCUUCUAAUACAGGAGGUCCAUGACGGUACCGUAAGAAUAAGCACCGGCUAACUACGUGCCAGCAGCCGCGGUAAUACGUAGGGUGCAAGCGUUAAUCGGAAUUACUGGGCGUAAAGCGUGCGCAGGCGGGUAUAUAAGACAGAUGUGAAAUCCCCGGGCUCAACCUGGGAACUGCAUGUGUGACUGUAUAGCUAGAGUACGGUAGAGGGGGAUGGAAUUCCGCGUGUAGCAGUGAAAUGCGUAGAUAUGCGGAGGAACACCGAUGGCGAAGGCAAUCCCCUGGACCUGUACUGACGCUCAUGCACGAAAGCGUGGGGAGCAAACAGGAUUAGAUACCCCAGUAGUCC
rnacentral:rRNA from 1 species